rnacentral:rRNA from 2 species
AGAGUUUGAUCAUGGCUCAGGAUGAACGCCGGCGGUGUGCCUAAUACAUGCAAGUCGAGCGCACUGGCCCAACUGAUAUGACGUGCUUGCACUGAAUUGACGUUGGAUUCCCAGUGAGCGGCGGACGGGUGAGUAACACGUGGGCAACCUGCCCUGAAGCGGGGGAUAACAUCUGGAAACAGGUGCUAAUACCGCAUAACAACGAAAACCACAUGGUUUUCGUUUCAAAGAUGGUUUCGGCUAUCACUUAGGAUGGGCCCGCGGUGCAUUAGCUAGUUGGUAAGGUAACGGCUUACCAAGGCGAUGAUGCAUAGCCGAGUUGAGAGACUGAUCGGCCACAAUGGAACUGAGACACGGUCCAUACUCCUACGGGAGGCAGCAGUAGGGAAUCUUCCACAAUGGGCGCAAGCCUGAUCGGAGCAACACCGCGUGAGUGAAGAAGGGUUUCGGCUCGUAAAGCUCUGUUGUUGGAGAAGAACGUGCGUGAGAGUAACUGUUCACGCAGUGACGGUAUCCAACCAGAAAGUCACGGCUAACUACGUGCCAGCAGCCGCGGUAAUGCGUAGGUGGCAAGCGUUAUCCGGAUUUAUUGGGCGUAAAGCGAGCGCAGGCGGUUGCUUAGGUCUGAUGUGAAAGCCUUCGGCUUAAACCGAAGAAGUGCAUCGGAAAACCGGGGCGACUUGAGUGCAGAAGAGGACAGUGGAACUCCAUGUGUAGCGGUGGAAUGCGUAGAUAUAUGGAAGAACACCAGUGGCGAAGGCGGCUGUCUGGUCUGCAACUGACGCUGAGGCUCGAAAGCAUGGGUAGCGAACAGGAUUAGAUACCCUGGUAGUCCAUGCCGUAAACGAUGAGUGCUAGGUGUUGGAGGGUUUCCGCCCUUCAGUGCCGGAGCUAACGCAUUAAGCACUCCGCCUGGGGAGUACGACCGCAAGGUUGAAACUCAAAGGAAUUGACGGGGGCCCGCACAAG